CAUGUCUUUUUGAUUUUAAUUUAAAGUCUGACCUGCCCAAUGAUUUUUUGAAUGGCCGCAGUAUUUUGACUGUGCAAAGGUAGCAUAAUCAUUAGUUUUUUAAAUGGAAGCUGGAAUGAAUGGUUUGAUGAGAAAAAAGCUGUCUCUUUAUCAAUGUUUUAGAAUUUUAUUUUUGAGUUAAAAAGCUUAAAUUUAAUAGAAAGACGAGAAGACCCUAUAGAGUUUUAUACUAAUUUAUUUAAAGAAUUUUUAGGGUUAUAUUUAUUUUUUAUUUAAGUAGUAUUUUGUUGGGGUGACAUAAAAAUUUAAUAAACUUUUUAUUUAUUAUUACAUGAAUUAAUGAUUGAUUGAUCCUAAUUUUUAGAUUAAAAGAAAAAAUUACCUUAGGGAUAACAGCGUAAUUUUUUUUUGAGAGUUCUAAUCGAAAAAAGAGAUUGCGACCUCGAUGUUGGAUUAAAGUUAAAUUUUGGUGUAGAAGCUAAAAGAUUAGGUCUGUUCGACCUUUAAAACU
rnacentral:rRNA from 1 species